rnacentral:misc_RNA from 1 species
UAACCACUCAAGCCUGGCUUGGUGUUGGGGUUCGCGGUCCCCGCGGCCCCUAAAAUCAGUGGCGGUGCCGGUGGGCUCUAAGCGUAGUACAUCUCCUCGCUAUAGGGUCCCCCCGGUGGCUCGCCAAAACCCCCAUUUUUUACA